UAAGAACUGCACAGGCUUUCACCCCACAAGCAAAAACCUCUCUUAGUUUCCUGGAGUUACUCACUUUGUCAAUUUAUUUCCAUUGCAAAAAAGAAAAUCAUGGCUGCUGAACUAGUAAGAGAAGCAUUUCUGUCUGCAACCCUUCAAAUGUUAUUUGACAGGAUGGCAUCUCAGGAGGUCGUGAAGUUCAUCCGGGGAAGAAAAGUCCCUGCUACACUACUAACAAAGCUGAAGACAUGGUGUCUUACCCUCAGCAAAGUGCUCAAUGACGCAGAGGAAAAGGAAAUCACAGACAUAAUUGUCAAAGAAUGACUUGAUGAGCUUAAGGAUGCUGUCUAUCACACAGAGGACCUUUUGGAUGAGAUCGCUACUGAAGCUUUGCGGUGCCAGGUGGAAGCUGAUUUUGUUACCUCUACGAGUAAGGUACGCAACUUCAUCUCUACUUCAUUUGAUCGGUCUGGGAGAAAACUAGAAUCAAAGAUACAAGAAGUCUUAGAGAAGCUGGAAUAUCUAGCUUUACAAAAAAAUGUUAUAGGUCUGAGAGAAGGUGUUGAAGGGAGAUCUUCCCAUAGAGUGCCCACAACUUCUCUGGUAGAUCCAGAAACUAUAAUUUACGGUAGGGAUGAUGAUGAAAAGGCAAUAGUCAACUUGCUGCUCUCAAAGGAUGUAGCCAGCAACAACCAGUCGGGUGUGAUUCCCAUUGUGGGCGUGGGUGGGGUUGGAAAGACAACCCUUGCUCGGCACAUCUACAACAACCAAAAAAUCAUAGAACAUUUCAGCCUUUUAGAGCAUGGGUUUGUGUUUCAAAAGAAUUUGACGUUCCUAAGAUAACUAAAAAAUAUUCUUGAGGCCGUCAGUUCACAAAUUUUGAUACUAUCCAAACUAAAUUGAGGGACUAUUUGAUGGGAAAGAUUUCUACUGAUUCUUGAUGAUGUAUGGAAUGACAAAAGGGAUGCUUGGGAGCUCUUGAAUGAACCCUUUAAACGUGGAACAUCGGGAUGUAGAAUUAUCGUGACAACACGCAACGAAAGUGUUGCAUUGAUCACGCGCCCUAUUCAAAUUUUUAAUCUUUAUAAAUUAUCAGAAGAAGAUUGUUGGCUAUUAUUUGCAAAUCAUGCCUUUGAAAAGGGAAAAUCUAAUGCAUAUCCAGAAUUAAAAAGAAUUGGUGAAGAAAUCAUUAAGAAGUGUGACGAUCUACCAUUAGCAGCAAAAGCACUUGGUUGUCUAUUGCAAUCUACAAUAGAUGUAGACUGGAAUAAAAUUUUGAAAAGUGAAAUUUGGAGUCUGCCUAUUGAUGGGGUGAUAUUCUUCCAGCUUUGAGAAUAAGUUACAAUUAACUACCCUCACAUUUAAAGCGAUGUUUUGCAUAUUUUUCGAUCUUCCCAAAGAAUUAUCUAUUCACAAAGGAAGGACUUGUUCAGGGAUGGAUGGGAGAGGGUUUCCUGCAACAACACAACAAGAAUGAAGAAAUGGAAGUUAUAGGCCAAAAUAUUUUGAUAGAACUUGACUUGGAGAUUAUAUUAAGACCAAAAUAUAUCAUAAUCAUGAAUUUGCACUCCCACUAGGCCACUGCUACUAUUACCAAAGAAACUAUAAUUUUUUUACCACUUUGCUAGGGGCAAAAAGGUAAACUACACUGGAUUUGGAUUCAAGUAUUUUGGGACAAUGUUUGUUUUUUUUUUUUUUUAAUACAACUUUGAGAUUAUAUUAAGACCAAAAUAUAUCAUGGAUUUGCACUCCCACUACUGGUACUACUAUUAUUACAGUAUUUCCAAAGAAGCUAUAAUUGUUUUGACCAUAUUGCUAGGACAAAAAGGUAAACUAUGCCGGAUUUGGACUUUUCAAGUUUGGGAAAGAAAAUUUUUUUUAAGUAAUUUAAUAGUAGAAAGAGAAGAUAUUUGAAUUAUGUACCGGAUGAACUAAAGGAUGUAUCGGGACAGCUUUCUUGUAUGUGUUAUUUGAUGUAUAUGAUAAACUUUUCUUUCAAAUUUGUAUGAAGUUUUUUGCUAUUCAUGUGUAGUUAGUAGUUACUACUUACUGCAUGGCUCAUUAUCUUUUAUGUUUGAAUUAAAAGAGUCUUAAGUUUAUUAUAUCACAAAAAAAAAAAUAAUAAUAAUAAUUGUUGGAAUUAGAGAUGUUCAUCACUUGAGUGCAUUUAGAUUGAGGAAGGAGGAUCAAUUUGCCAAUCAACAUGUGUCUUAUCGGGUUUGAAAUUGCACAAUAUAUCAAACAUACUAAUAGAAAAGGAUUAGCUUAUUAACUGUUUUUUUUUUUUUUUUUUUUUUUUUUUACUUAGAGUUUGCAACCAUCAAUUUCAAGACUUUAAAAGACCUAAACAAAUAAUCUGGCAAUCACUCAAAACUCACAACACAAUGGAAUGAUGAAGCAAAAAAAUGAGAAAAACUCAAACAAAUACUUUAAUGAUAGUUCACAACAAUAAUUUAGCUCGAUGGCAAUAACUAUGUAAAAAAUAAUAGAUUUUUUGGCGACAAGUCUAAAUUUAUAGAUGGUCAUGAAAUUUAGGGUAUAUUUAACCCUAUUUUUAUUAAAUAGAUUUUUGAAACUAGCCAUGGCCUUUCAAGUCAAAUUGGGCCAAUCAACACGUUUUAUGUUUUUGUUUCAUCUUGUCUUUUAACGGUCCGUUAAAUAAUUUGUUGUUCUUAGAGUCUGUUUAGAUACUGUUUAUUUUGCUAAAAACUGGAAACACUGUAACAAAAUAAUUUUUAAAUGUGUGAAUAGUGCCGUGAGACCCAUUUUUAAUAAAAAAUUUGCUGAAAAAAGAUGUUUGUGAGUCCCGUAAACAGUGCAAAGGACCCACUGGUGUGACAUAAAGUCACAGAAACAUGCUUCUCCCAAAAAAAAAAAAAAAAAAAAGUUGCAACGCAGACGCAAGACGCAAGACGCAGACGCAAUCCAAACCUGUACUUAGUGUCCAAGUUUAUUAGGUGUGCAAUAUUUUGUUAUUUUAAAACUUAACAAUAUUGUAUACCUUAAUUGCUUUUGACAUACUAGUAGUGUCUCCUACUACCCAAUUGUGUAGGAUGAUUUUGGGCCAACCCUAGAAGUCAAUAAUUAUAAAAGAAUAAUUACAUAGAAUUUAUUUGGUAAUAAAACAUCAUUUUUUUCUACUGUAACUCAACAAAUUAGAAAAUAACUCAAUUCAAACGUACAAUAUUUUAACAAUAGUGGAAGUUUUUGAAAAUGGUUCAUAGGUAUGAAGAAAAUAUACUUUUUUAUGAGAGUAAAUGUGCUAAUUUUCUAUACAUUGAUGCCUUAGAAUUUUCAUAGUUGAAGACUUAUUUUUCUAUUUUGUUUUUAGCAACCCUAGCCUAUGGAAAAUUAUUGUAUAGUCAAAGACUAUAAAAUAAUAGCCAUAGUUUAUGGAAAAUUAUUGUAUAGUCCCGGACAAUACUCCUUUAUUCACACGAUUUUGUUAAUGAUAAAUAAAAAAAUUUAUGUUAAUAGUAAAUACAUAUAUUAGAAGUAAUUAAAACUUGUUAAUUAAUUUUGUUGUGAAAUUGUUGUGUAAACAUGACCCUAUUUUAAUUACCUUUUUUGUCUUUACUGUCAUUGCCAAAAAUUUGAGAAAACCAUACACUACACCAUUUUUGUGUGAGCUAACCAAAGAACAUCCUAAAGUGACAUGUGGUCUGUCACCAUUACCCUGCUAAUAUUUGUCUUUCACAUCUUAUAAAAAUAUCACCACUAGCUCUAGUAGAGCUACACAGCCUACAUUACACUACUAAUAACAAACCUUCACACUCACACUCACACAUUUCAUGUUUCAUGUUUGUGUUCCAUCUUAUCUUUUAACAAUCCAUUAAAUAAAUUUAGCUUUGUUGUUCUUAGUGUCCAAGUUUAUUAGGUGUGCAAUAUUUUCUUAUUAUUAAACUUAACAUUAUUGUAUACCUUAAUUGCUCUUGACAUAAAGGUAGUGUUGAUAUUCUUUUAGCUCCAUAAUUUUUCCCUAGUAUGAAGGAGAUGAAUUGCCUAUAAGUUAAUCACCAAUAAACUCCUAGUACCCAAUUGUGGAGGAUGAUUUUAAGCCAACCCUAAAAGUCAAUAAUUAUAAAAAUUAAAAAAAUAGUUACAUAGAAUUUAUAUUGUAUUAAAACCUCUCUUUUUUUCUAGUGUAACUCAACAAAUUAGAAAAUAAGUCAAUUCAAACAUACAAUAAUUUCGCAAUUGUGGAAACUUUUGAGAAUGGUUAUGAUGAAAAUAGACUCUCUUUUUUUUAAUGGGAGAAAAUGGGCUGAUUUUCUAUACAUUUGAUGCCUUAGAAUUUUCAUAGUUGAAGACUUUAUUUUUCACCAGUCUAUAUUGUUUUUUUUGCAUUCUUUGAACUUAUUAUUUUACAUUUUACUUUUCUAUGAAAGAUAAUUGACGUUUUCAGGUAAUGUCUUGAUAUGUCUAAAUUCUCUAAUUUCUUUUUUUUUUCCUUUGUAUGUGUCUUAGGAGAUGCUAGGUCUGCCACAUCCUUGAAAGAUAUUAGCAUAAAAACUAUUUACUCGGAAUUCAUGAGUUAGCUUUUUUUUAACCUAAAAAAAAUUAUGUUAGGUUGUUAAAUUAAUAGAUUGGAAUUAUCACAAUAGAUUGCGUUGUGCCCUUGUGAGCCUCACGGACGCACACAAGGGAACUCCAACAUUGAAGGAGGUGAAAAUUGGAAUUAUCACAAUUUUCAUAUCUUUCACGGACCCACCAACAAUGGUAUCAGGUUUGAAGUCCCACUCCUCUUUUCUCUGCACCUAGAGGUAAUAAAUGCGCACUAAAGACCCUCUAGGCUUAGCACAACAUUUCGCCCUCAAAUUGCUGUUGAUUGUUUUUUUUUUUUUCUUUUUUUCUUUAUUUGUCAUUGCCAAUUUUUGGGAGUACUAUACCAACAAUGCCUAGAGUGACACGUGUUAUGUCUCUUCACGUCCUUAUUUCAUAUUAGCUCUGGUUCUAUAUAUGGCCUCCACUACACUCAUACACUCACACUCUUACACUCUUUGAUUGUCAUUCUCUUGCUCCCUCUCUCUACUAUUGGUCUUUUUUUUAUUUCAAAAUCUUCACCCUCACCAUGACCCGCCUAGGAAGGAUGGCCAAAGCUUGGAAUAUCUUGAACAAGAACGAAGGUUGGGACUUCACCGAGUGCAGGAUGAAGUUGAAAAAAUUUCUUUAUGGAAAUAAAUAUCAAACUCAUGGUAUUUUUAAAAAUUUGUUUUUUCCUUCUUGUUACUAAUUUUUUUCGUUUUGCUUUAUUUCUUUUUUGUAUAGAGUGUCUUGCCAAAAGUAUAGAAAAAAAGGUCAAAAAAUUCUUGUCUGGAAAGAAAUAUAUGGGAAAAGUUCAAGGGACUGACGUUUCUUCUAGGGUGGCGAAGGUGGAUGCUAGUUCAGGAGAUCAUCAAGAAGAUGCAAAGAAGAAAAAGGGCACAGGGGUCAUGCCAUUACUUUCCAACGUCAUGGUUGUUGAAGGUGCUGUCGAGAUCGACUUAAAAGGAGUCGGGAAGAUUGUGAGUGUCCAUGAUAAGAGCCUGACGGCUGGCACUGCAAAGAUUGGUAGCUCAAUGCUUGGCUUGGAUGGCAUUGAGACCAUGGAAAACGUGAAACAAAUUUAUCAAAAGUGCAAAAGUUAGAGGGUAAGAUGGAUGCUGGAUUUCAAAGAAUGGACCACAAAAUAGAGGAGGAGUUUAGAAGAUUGGAGCUUUUGAUCAAAAGCAAAUGUGGAGGAGUAAUUAUUCAAUUUAUAAUUAUUAUAGGUCAAUCAUUUUUUUUUUUUUUUUUAGUAUUAGUAGUUAAUUAUGUUUAUUAGUAUUUUUAGGUUCUUCAAUUUGUUGUCUAGUUUUGGUGUUUGUCUUGUUCCUGUAUCUUACCAAAUUAUUCUUU